GUAGCCAAAAUUCUCUGGUUGGCAUUACUUCUCAAGAAAAAUGGGGAACUGGUUGCCCUUACUGCACACUUCGACACAUGUGAGAGCACUCUUUAUAACAAAGGAUGUGAUGGAUUGGAAAGAACAAAGCUGGAUAAGAACAUGCAUGAAACUAUGAAAGUGCAAAGCUGGCCACACGUCGGAAUCACAAAAAUGCCUCCUUGCCAUCUCACACAGUGCCAAAUGCAAGCACAAGCCCAGAUCUCUGACAAUGUCGCUUUUGAGUAA
rnacentral:lncRNA from 3 species